GAGGACUUAGCUUAAUUAAAGUGUUUGAUUUGCAAUCAAUAGAUGUGAGAUAAGUUCUUGCAGUCCUUA
rnacentral:tRNA from 1 species